UUUCAAUUUUGUUUCUUUGUUUAUUGUGUGUGGGUAUGAGAGAGUUCUCAUAUACUACAAUAGGUAUGUAGAUGCCAGAAGACAAUUAUAGGAAUCAGUUAUCU
ensembl:miRNA predicted gene, 44413